ensembl:lncRNA LINC01583 long intergenic non-protein coding RNA 1583
CAAUUACCUCCCAACAUGUUUGCAGCAAGUACCCUGUCGAUGGUAGGCAAGAGGAAGGUGUGACCCACAAAGAUCAAGGAAUCUAAGCCGGCCAAGGUUAAGCAUGAAUCGAGGAAAGGAAACAGAAAUCCUCUUCCUAGUCCUCUUUCCUCUGUUUUCUCCUCUGGGUACCAGAAUUGCGACAGAGUGGGACAGCUCAGGCAGCUGCAGGUCUUGGCCAGUGCUCUUCCUCACCCAGGCCAUGCAGCAUCAACACAGUCACCGUAGAACUCCUCUUAAGACAAGCAAAGGAACUUUCCAACCCAGUACUCAGGGAGUUUUGAGAUUUUCCAAGAUGCCAUCGAGGAACUGAAAAGUGCUGCCCAGCUGCAGUGAGGGCUUUUUAAAGGCAGUUUCAUGUCUACACCCCACUGAGUUCAGACUGUCCAAUGAAGCACUGACAUUGUUACACAUGCGUGUUGUGGACAACUUGAGAAAACACUUGUCUGCAGGAAGAUGAAAUUAAAAUCAAGUGUGAUCCUACCACCGAAA